rnacentral:miRNA from 1 species
GGGAGAAAGUGGGUCUAGAAAGAGGUGAAAAGAGUAUUUACUAAAACUUCCCCUUUUUUCUAUCCACAG